AGACAGGUGGUGCAUGGUUGUCGUCAGCUCGUGUCGUGAGAUGUUGGGUUAAGUCCCGCAACGAGCGCAACCCUUGUGUUUAGUUUGCAAACAGGUCAAGCUGUGCACUCUAGACAGACUGCCGUGGACAACACGGAGGAAGGUGGGGAUGACGUCAAAUCAUCAUGCCCCUUAUGAUCUGGGCUACACACGUGCUACAAUGGCCGGUACAACGGGCAGCGAAGGAGCGAUCCGGAGCGAAUCCUAAAAAGCCGGUCCCAGUUCGGAUUGCAGGCUGAAACUCGCCUACAUGAAGUUGGAGUUGCUAGUAAUCGCGAAUCAGAAUGUCGCGGUGAAUGCGUUCCCGGGUCUU
rnacentral:rRNA from 1 species